UACGAAGGGGCUAGCGUUGCUCGGAAUCACUGGGCGUAAAGCGCACGUAGGCGGCUUCUUAAGUCAGGGGUGAAAUCCUGGAGCUCAACUCCAGAACUGCCUUUGAUACUGAGGAUCUUGAGUUCGGGAGAGGUGAGUGGAACUGCGAGUGUAGAGGUGAAAUUCGUAGAUUAUUCGCAAGAACACCAGUGGCGAAGGCGGCUCACUGGCCGAUACUGACGCUGAGGCGCGAAAGCGUGGGGAGCAAACA
rnacentral:rRNA from 1 species